GUCUACGGCCGUGCCACCCUGAACGCCCUGGAUCCCAGCUGAUCUUGGAAGCUAAGCAGGGUCGGGCCUGGUUAGUACUUGGAUGGGAGACCACCUAGGAAGACUGGGUGCUGUAGGUG
rnacentral:rRNA from 1 species